AGAGAGAGAGAGAGAGAGAGAGAGAGAAAGAGAGAAACAGGAAGAAACCGCUACCUCUGUGAGGAGGCUGUUCCAGGUUGUCAAAUUCUCUGCCUCACCGUGGUUACUCACCACGGUCAGUCUCUAUCAUCACUGGGUGCAGACCUGUGCAUGCUAUUCUCUGGAUCUGGAACGUUCUCCCUGCCCCUUUCCUAGCCCUCUGCCCUGGGUUUUCUACUGAGUCUCCGGAGCAAGUCCCAUUCAACCAAAACAGGCUGCCUUUCACAGCCCCACAAGAGUGGAGAAAUCUUAAGCCAUGUGACCAAGGUAUAUAUGUGCUGGCAAAGGAGUGUGUGCAUGAGGGCAGGUCCCACAGAUCUAGAGGAACACGCUGGAUUCAGAGUCCCUUGUGAGCAGCCACACCAGGGCUGCGUGAGAUGGAUUCUGACCACCUCGCUGUGGAUUGGCGCAGCUCAGGAAGCAGUGCAGCUUGACACAGAGCUUGGGAAGCACACCCCCAUUGAUGGUGCUUGCUUUGCAAACAUCCCUGAUUGCUGCGGCCUCUACAAUCCUCUGAAUGACGAACAACUUCAUGGCCUCGUCCUUGGGCACACACCGGUCAACAUCACUGCACAAGGUUUAUCCUAUUUUUCAUCACAUGAAAAAUAAGAUCUUGUUUUCUUAAGUAAUUGCAGAGUGACAGACACCAGAGUAAGGACUUAAUGAACCAGGCAGAAGGACCCUUCAUCUAAAGCAGCCAAAGAGUCGAAUGAUUAGAAGGGAGCAUAAGAGAACGUGGUUAGCUCAGUGCAAAGGGAUUACCAGGACACAUGUACUCAAAGGCAUUGUUAAAGACCAAGGACAACACAGAUGCCACCGUGAGGCAGUGUGAACAGGUGAGGCGUGAAAUGCACAUAGCCAGAAAGGCGGCAAAGAUUCAGCUCCAUCUUCCUGGAUACUGCCCUGUUUGCCCAUCCAACCCACAAGGCACCCGGUUCAGCUUCUGCAAUAAGAGGCAGUAUGAUGCCCCAAAAUGUUUGAUACCAGGCUGUGAUAGCCCUGAGGACAAGAUCUGCCUUGUUCCUGUGGCAGACCCAGCUCCAGCCUAGACCUGGCAUUGGGUAGAGGCUGGCAGUUAAGAGUUGCUAGCAAAUAGAUGGCUUCAGAACUUUCCAGAAAGCUAGUGGCUGAUAGAACCAAGGAAUUCCUUAGACCAGAGUACAGAAUGGCAGGAAAGCACCAAAGUACACAGCAAGCUCAGACCAGGAGAGUUUGAUCUCUGUGUCGAGCUCAGAGAUGGAGAAGGACCCAGUAGGGUAUCAUGCUAUUAUACCAGAGCUACAAGGAGGUCCUGGUCCUGGAUAGGAGGAACUCAUGGGCAAAGGGCUAAGGGCAAACUAGGAACCUAAGACCUGUGCAACCAUAGAAAGGCUCAGUAGAAGGACCCAGAUAUAGCUCUCUCUUGUGAGACUAUGCUGGGGCCUAGCAAACACAGAAGUGGAUGCUCACAGUAAGGACCAAGGCCCCAGAGCCUCGUUAAUCUGUUGUCAGAGUCCCUGAUGGCAUGCUAGGGAACGCCAGGCAGAGCUCCCUGGGCUGCUGGCCAUCAUCCAAACAUGCUCCUCUCCGUGGAAAAGAAGUGAUGUCAUACACGGAAGGGGUGGUCUCCACGCACAGGAUACCUGUAAACACCGAAGCAUGUUUCAAAGAAAAACAAAAGUCAAAUUACAGAGCUGCAGAGCUGGG
rnacentral:lncRNA from 1 species